UAGGGGGGAGGGGGCUAAACAUGCAAGUCGAGCGGUAGAGAAAGCUUGCUUUUCUUGAGAGCGGCGGACGGGUGAGUAAUGCCUAGGAAUCUGCCUAGUGGUGGGGGAUAACGUUCGGAAACGGACGCUAAUACCGCAUACGUCCUACGGGAGAAAGCGGGGGACCUUCGGGCCUCGCGCCAUUAGAUGAGCCUAGGUCGGAUUAGCUAGUUGGUGAGGUAAUGGCUCACCAAGGCGACGAUCCGUAACUGGUCUGAGAGGAUGAUCAGUCACACUGGAACUGAGACACGGUCCAGACUCCUACGGGAGGCAGCAGUGGGGAAUAUUGGACAAUGGGCGAAAGCCUGAUCCAGCCAUGCCGCGUGUGUGAAGAAGGUCUUCGGAUUGUAAAGCACUUUAAGUUGGGAGGAAGGGUAGUAACCUAAUACGUUGCUACUUUGACGUUACCGACAGAAUAAGCACCGGCUAACUUCGUGCCAGCAGCCGCGGUAGUACGAAGGGUGCAAGCGUUAAUCGGAAUUACUGGGCGUAAAGCGCGCGUAGGUGGUUCAGUAAGUUGGAAGUGAAAUCCCCGGGCUCAACCUGGGAAACUGCUUUCAAAACUGCUGAGCUAGAGUACGGUAGAGGGUGGUGGAAUUUCCUGUGUAGCGGUGAAAUGCGUAGAUAUAGGAAGGAACACCAGUGGCGAACGCGACCACCUGGGACUGAUACUGACACUGAGGUGCGAAAGCGUGGGGAGCAAACAGGAUUAGAUACCCUGGUAGUCCACGCCGUAAACGAUGUCAACUAGCCGUUUGGGGAGUCUUGAACUCUUAGUGGCGCAGCUAACGCAUUAAGUUUGACCGCCUGGGGAGUACGCCGCAAGGUUAAAACUCAAAUGAAUUGACGGGGGCCCGCACAGCGGCUGGCAGCAUGUGGCUUAAAUUCGAAGCACGCGGAAGAACCUUACCUUGGCCUUGACAUGCUGAGAACUUCUAGAGAAUAGAUGGUUGCAUUCGGUAGCUCAGAACACAGUGCCUGCAUGGUCUGUCGUCAGCUUCAGUUCUGGAAUGUUGGUAGUCUGUACCGAUC
rnacentral:rRNA from 1 species